rfam:Capsicum annuum cultivar Zunla-1 chromosome 7, whole genome shotgun sequence
AUCUCAUGGUGAGGCCAUUUCAUAAGCUUAUCCUUAAAUCUCUCCCAUGCUUCAUACCAAGGUUCCUCAUGGAAUUGCUGAAAAUUUAUGAUCUCGUCCCGAAAUU